GCGCACCUGUGAUCUAUCUGCUCGUCAGGCAAGGUGUACAAGAGGAGCUGACUGCCAGCACUUCGACGCCUGAGUGUUAGCCAGUAACGGUGUCUUUCCUGAGAAGUCCUGGGUUCCCCCCUCGUGACGCUGUGGAACCUACCCACUGGUUGCCCGAGUUUCCAGACUCACCUCCUCCGGCUAUCGCAGUUCCCUCCUGGAUGUCCCGACUGGCAGUCGUGUGGCUCCUCUGUCUCUGUCCUGCCAAAACCUACCUGUCCGUCCCCACCCCAACAACAUUCCCUCGCCGCCUUCCGGAUCUCAGUGGCCCAGCGCUGUUCCACCUGGAUCAUACGGAAUCAAGAACCCCGAGUACGGCAGUUAUCCCUCCAAACCUGCAAACUCCCACUCAACAAUGAGCCGACCACUCCGUGAGCCUUUUCCUUCCCCCUGGAAAGGACCCGCAAUCUUCAGUACAUUCUAUUAUUGCUGUUGUAAUAAAUUCACUUAUUAUAU